AAGGAUCAUUAUCAAUUUUACAGUCCUGGGAUGGGGGUAAAAACUCCAUCCCAUGCUGUUCAACCCUUUGUCUUUUGCGUACUGUAUGUUUCCUCGGCGGGUUCGCCCGCCGAUAGGACACUUCAAAACCUUUUGUAAUUGCAAUCAGCGUCAGAAAAACUAUAAUAGUUACAACUUUCAACAACGGAUCUCUUGGUUCUGGCAUCGAUGAAGAACGCAGCGAAAUGCGAAAAGUAGUGUGAAUUGCAGAAUUCAGUGAAUCAUCGAAUCUUUGAACGCACAUUGCGCCCCUUGGUAUUCCAUGGGGCAUGCCUGUUCGAGCGUCAUUUGUACCCUCAAGCUCUGCUUGGUGUUGGGUGUUUGUCCCGCCUUUGCGCGUGGACUCGCCUUAAAGUGAUUGGCAGCCGGAAUAAUUCUGGGGAACGCAGCACAACUGCAGCCUCCAUUUUACGCCGAGCGUCCAGCAAGCCUUUUUUCAACGUUUGACCUCGGAUCAGGUAGGGAUACCCGCUGAAC
rnacentral:rRNA from 1 species